GGGUUUUCGCUGGAUUUAUGUCGCUUUGCAGGAGAGAAUCCGGUUCCCCCUGCGCUGUCUUUAAUGGGUUGUUAGUUGCAAUUGAGUGAAGGAGCAGCGUCCGGAGGUAGCUGCGUUGUUUGGCUUUUAACGUUGCUGAAUGCACCCCUUCCCCCGCCUCCCCCUGCACGAUUAUUUACUUUAAUACCACGAGGCUGGUGGGGUUUUUUUUUCUUUAGCAAAAACUAGUUGUAGCCUCGUCCCCGGGCGAGUUUCCGGGGCUGCGCGAAUCCCGAGGCUUAGAGAUACCGAGGGACCUCAGCACCCCCAAAUCACAACACUUUCUCAUCCUCCCCGAGUAGAGUUUAUUUUAAAAUGUAGUGACGGAUCAGCGCUGUAUUUUAAGCUCCCCCACGGCAGGCGAACACAUGGUGCCGGGAAGAGAUCGUACGCAAGGAACUAACACGAGAGGGAGAAAGAGAGAGAGGGAGAGAGGAAAAAUGAAAUCCGAAAUAAAUCUUUGAGAGCGGAGCGCUGCUGUCACCGCUCCGGAGCGUUCGCGUGGGUUUCUCUUCGCGGCUAACCCCGGAGGGCACGGCAUGGAGCGAGGCGACGGGCGUUCAGUGGGGCUUUUAGAUUCUCCUUUAAGUUUGAGUUCCACUCUGCUGCAGUACUGCUGAGAGACUUAGCUGGGCUGCCUCGAAGCUCGCUUGGUUCCCUUUUCAGCUGUAUCGUUGGGUGCAAACUAGUGGCAUGCGUACAACACAUAGUGCAAAGGGAGUCAGACAGACGGCUGUCUCCCCUGCAUGUUUCCCCUGCACUGAUUCUCUGCUGAACUUAUGUAGCAUUUUGCUUCAGUUUUUUCUUCUUACAUUUACACCCUAACGAAAGUGAGAAGAGAAACCAAGUGGAGCCUGCCGGUUUCCUUCGUUAGACCGUCAGUGCCUGACCUGUAGAAAAGGAAUAGCUGGCGUCCAAAGUGAACUGCCUUCGCCUGUCACAUUGAUUUUAUUGACAACUGGGGACUGCUGGUGCUUGUUCCCUUGCCAGCAGUUUUUAAUACAUGACCAACAAUUGCUAGUGGUCACUUCCAGCUGAACUUCUUUUGCGUGGUGGGAGAGAAUGCCUUUGGACAUGUUCCUUGCAUCUUUGAUCAUAUUUUUGGUUGAAUGUAUCCAUGUACGUCUGCUGUUCUUAGAGGCCUUGAGAUAUCCCAUGGUAAUAAAGGGCAGAGCUUUGCAUGAUGAUAGCAAAACCAAAUAUUUUGUUCUCAGUGGGCAGCAGAAAGUUCCUUUAGUCAUGACCUUAUAUCUGCUAAACACUAUAAUCACCUUGGGAGAUAUCACUUCAGGAAGCAUAUCCAUUAAUCUUUUACACUUGGUUUGAUUUCACCCUUAAAAGUGCAUGGAUCACACUGAAAAGGCUUCUGUCCAUUUAUUUAUUUAUUUUGUGGAACAAAAAUCGCUGGAGAAGCAGUGAUGCACUUUUCUUUACACCCCAUACGGUGGGGUGAUGUAUAUUUCUCUUUCCAUAGUGUGACUUGAAAGAUCAGUGGGCUCGUUUGGCAGAGGUUGUGUGUAAUGACUAAUGUUUUUAAAGUCAUGUAAAUAGGGGUGUUUGUGUAUAUAUAAGCUAUGUCAGCUGAAGUGAUACAAGGACAUAUUUUUAAAACAUUUCAGUUAAUAUAGUAAAUCAAGGAGACAGGGCUUUGAAACAUUUCUACAUGAUGUCAGAACCUGCGAGAGAGGUACUGCUGUAUGAGGUGUUCGGUAGCUCAGAUACGGCGUAUUUGUCGAGUAGCAGCGAAACACACAGGUGCACAUUCCAAGUUUUUGAUUUAGCUGAUUCCUAUUUGUCUUCUUUCUUCCUUUCUUUCCUUGCUUCUUUCUUUCUUUCUUUCUUUUUUCCCCUCAGUGUCUUUUUGUGUAUUUUUUUUUUACUAGACGCUGUUUUCUAUUUUUGUCCCCUUAGGUAGAAGAGCAGGGAUAGAAACUUUAGGAGACUUAUUCCUAAAACAUAGAAACUGGAUUUCCUUUUAUUUUAAAUGGGCUAUUUGGAAAUCUUCAGAUACGCAGUUGAUAUAUUAUUGCAGAUCAUGAUACCGUAUUGUAAAAACAAUUGUAAACAACCAUAUUGUAAACAAAAUUCAGAUAAAUCUUGCCAUUAGGAAGGUGGCUUACAAAGCUGGUCUGAUGUCUGUAUGAAACACGCAUAUGUUUACUUAAAUGUAGAUCUGUGCAGAAGGGAGAGAUCUGAUAGAUACGUUUACCGUGAAGCAGCUGAUUUCUGCCGUGAUAAAACUGGGUGAUUACACAUUCGCAAAGCCUUUGCAGCACAGAAGUAGGUGUUCUUUUAAAACAUUAUUCUGUGGCAACAAACAAAUAUUUGUGACAUCAUUGUGAGAGGUUUCCUGCCAAUUUUGAGUUUACUGUCUUUCAGAAAGUCUGGAGUUCUUUGGCACUGGUGAAACUGCUGCACAUACCCAUCGUAUAUUCAAGUAUUCAGUGAAGUUUUAAAUAAUUCUCUUUCAAUUAGUACAACAGGAACCUGAGAAAAUGGAUUUUCUCUUAAAGAAACAAGAAUCUGUACAUAGCCAUUUCUUUCCUCCUCUUGUAUAUUUUAACAUCCUCAUAUCAGUUUUAUGUUUACUGUUUUGUCUCCUUAAAUUAAGAAGAAAGAAAACAGUAGCAAGAGUUUAAAAAUCAUUGCUUGGAAAUGAUUUUAAUCAAAUAUUUCUUGAGCUCUGUGAAUUGGCAAGAGUAAUAUAAAAUUAGAUGUAUUGGUAAACUAGGCUAAUCAGAGUCAUUCAUUUAUAGUGGAGAAUAAAUAUCUAUCAAUUGAUGCUUUUUUGAAGUCAGGCAAAACAUUCCAUCAAGUUAAUGUGUUUCAGGGUAUCAUAUCAGGCACAGGCAGGUACUAGAAGUGAUGAAAAACAGAUAACCUGCAACAAAAUGAUUUACAGAUGGGUCAUUAUCUUCUAUAGAGAGGUUACACAGAUCAUAUUCUUUAUAAAAUGAGAUUGUAUUUCUAUAGAGCUAGGAGAAUUCUCUAAAUAGAUUGGAGUAUUUAAUGUUUUCUAUGUGACGGGCAGAAUUUGUCAAAGUCAAAAACUCUUAGCUUUCUUAUAGGCAACAUAUUGAUGUAAGAUACCAAACGUACUACUUUUGUAUUUAAAAUAUUCUUUCUGUUUAUUUCAGUUGUUUGAUAAAGUAAAGCUUGGGAUACAUUUUGCUUCUUUCUAGGUGAACUUCAUAGUGUUUACCUUUAAAAUAUGCACGAAAAAGCUACAUACAAAUUAAAAAAGAAACAAAAAAUAUCAAAAAAACGAUGGCAAAUUUAACAUUGAGAAUUUUUAAAAUAUUUUUUUAAUUUCAGGAUCUAUUUCAUACACUGAGUGCCCAAGUUACAUCUUUUCUAUUGGUGUAAGACAGGGUGUCACUUAAAUAUUUUCGUCUUUCUUCUUGAGCUAGACAGAAAGGUGUAGUCAGUCGUUUCUCCGGUCUCUGGUAGUCUGAUACAAGGCAACAGGAAAAUCUAAAACCUCAGAGGUGAAGUAUUGAUUUGAUUCCUAACUGCAAAUCCUUCAUAUCAUUGCUCAAAAUAUCUAACUUUACACCAAUAUUAUCCAUUCUUUUUAUAGUGACACCGUGCUUAGUAAAAAACUUCUAAGCACUGAGGUCAGGUGUUGAGAUUGGAUUCUAGUUUAUUUUUUAUGAAUCAGAUAAAGAUUUCUGUGCAUGAGACCGUAUGUGAAGAUGAGAGAACAAGAACAUUUCCAUAUCAAAGGCAAUAUAUCUGAGGCUGCAUAGUAAUUAAAAUGCAGUGGUUUGGACUGUGUGCACUAGCACUUACGCAGAGCGUUGUUGGGACCUUGUGCAGCAUGCAGGCGGUUGUCUCUUGCAUACUUCUAGAAAUAUACUUAUAAUUUUGUACAAACAUUUAUGCCAGUCCACACUUUUCUGUGGAUAAUUUGUAUUUCAUCCAAACCAUUCAAAGUAGAAGUUAUUUUUUGAGCAACCCCCUCAUUAUGGCUUUUGUGCAUCAACUAUUUUUAUUCUGGUUGUUUGUAUUUCCUCUUACCAGAAUGAUGGCUUGUUUAUAGUAGGGCUUUUUUUUUGUGUUUGUGUGUGUGUUUUUCUCUAAGACCCCUUCCAUAUACCACUGAAAUUUUACUACUUGCUUGAAAUAUCUUAUUGGAAACCAAAAAUGAUAGUAUUUUUGAGAGGUAUUAAAGAUAGCAUGAUUUCUUACAUACCAUGCUUUCUGGCAGAUUAGAAGCAUGUUCAGGAAAUAAUCUUUUUAAUGAUAAAAUGCAUUUACUUAUUUCAACUAACUGUUACACAACAGAAGGAGAAUUAAUACAUUACUCCAAAGACCUACUCAUGAGGAGGGAGAUGAGAAUCAGCAAAACACAUUUCAGGGUGCUCCCUAUCUGGAUCUUUUUUUUCUGGAAUAAAUGUGACUUUAACUCCAGAGCAGAUUGCCCUGGUGAAGAGCUGUUCUGGAAGGGCUGCUGUUGAAUUGUUUACUUCGUAAACUGUAAUGGUCAGUGUCCCAGUGUGGAGGAGGCAGUGACUGCUGCAAAUUUCCUUAUUACUCAUAAAAACUUGUUCUACAGAGGCUAUCUGUUAAUGCUCCAAAUCUAUUGAGGUGAAGCUUUUGGGAAGUCUUCAUGUUUAAACAGAUGUUUGUACUGUGAAAGUUUUGCAUUUAGGUAAUCUUGAGAUCUCGCUUCAUUUUGCCUAGUUUUAGAUUACAGUUGGUGUAUGAGUAUGUGUGUAUUUUGUGCUAUAAUAUCACACUUUCAGAGGAUGUUAUGCAUGCUUUUUAAAUCUGUAUUACUGUUGUGGAUGGGCUUGUUAAACUGAAAUCCUGACCAGUUGUGGUUAGUAAAAACCCAUGGUAUUUUUGCGCAAGUAGGGGGGUUAACCUCAAUGUCAUGGCCUAAUUCCAGCUAAGAUAGGAUGUAGUUGCCCAUCUACAUUCUUCUUAUAGUUUUAACUGGCUCAGUUAAUCCUUACUUCCUCUCCUAAAUGCAGUAGAGUAGCGUGCUAAGGAUACUUGCUACAUUUUGCCUCAGAAGUACCAAAUCCAACUACUGAUGUAGUAGGUGGAAGUAGAUAAUGGAUCGUGUUUUGGUAGCUUUCUGGAUAAGAAGAGUUUCAUAUACCUGUCUGGCUAAUUAUUAUUAGAGGGAAUGUUUUGAAGGAUUUAAUAUACUGUAUUAAUCUACAAUAUACUUGAAUGUUGAGCUGCGGAGCUGUGUAAGAGAAAUAUUUUGGUCACAUGGAGCUUUUUUUCAGCUGUCAUAAACAAGUGUGACUCCAUUUACUGAAGUUGAAGAGUUCCAUUUUACUCCAAGCCAUAAUUGUGUUCCUUAGGAUGUGGUCCAAUUUCUUUAGAAUUCAAUGGAAAGACCCUUCUUUGACUAUGCUGGGAGGGCCCUGUUUGCAUUCAGUGUAGUGUAGAAAAUAACCUGCUUUGGUUUCAGUUACGGUGUAGUCAGGUUCAUCUUCAUGACGUUGCCUAUGGGUAUAGGAUGAUACUGACAGGAGUUCAUCACGUGUCAACUAUGUACUAGAUCAUAUGUUUCUCCACACAGACUUUUCUAGCAGGUUUUCUGCUUAGAGUGUGAGCCUUCAACUGCUGAAUUUCUGUAAAUGUGGAGACUGUGGUUAUGCUUUUUCUUUCGUUCUUUCAGAUACCGCGACCUGCUGAGUUAAAUCUUCCUGCAGAUCCUCCUUUUUCCUCCUCCUUUUUCCUCCUCCUUUUUCCUCCUCCUUUUUCCUCCUCCUUUUUCCUCCUCCUUUUUCC
rnacentral:lncRNA from 1 species